UAAAUGAUAUAUAGGAUUUUCAUGUAAGUUGGAUAUACGAAUACAAUAUUAACUUGUUUUUUGUUUUGUGCAGGGUUACAAUAUAACUUUAACCUAUCUGUUACAUGAGCUACGUAUAGUUGAACCGAACUGCGUAAAAAAGGUGUUGCGUGGCAUCAAUUAUGUCUUGUUUCGAGAAGAGUAGGUGGUUGCAGUGUUUACUCUCUCGUUUCCGGCCAACGGUGAGAAUGAAGAUGUUCAAGGGUUGGAAGCAGUAUUUGACGGGGUGAUGUUGUUAUAGAGGGCUGUGUAAUGGUUGUUGACGGCACAAUGGAAGUGUGAUAUCUGGAAGUGAUGUAAUUCUCCUGAAUUCUCUCUAUCAGUCUCAGCAUCCACUGGGAAACAUGUUCAGUAUUUGACAGGGUGAUGUUGUUAUAGAGGGCUGUGUAAUGGUUGCUGACGGCACAGUGGAAGUGUGAUAUCUGGAAGUGAUGUAAUUCUCCUGAAUUCUCUCUAUCAGUCUCAGCAUCCACUGGGAAACAUGUUCCUUGAGACUCUUCAACAAGUGAUAUUAGAACUAUGAUUUGGUUUGGUGGAGAAGCAGGACAUGAUAUUGGAUAUUUGUAUCGAAAUUCUUUCUAACAAUGUAAUCAGGAAACAUGUUAUGUUGGUAAUAAUGAUAAUAUAAGUAUAUGAUGUAGGAGACUCUCCCUCAAAUUUUAUUCAUUUUAAUCGUUUUGAGACAACACAACAAUAA